rnacentral:rRNA from 1 species
UACGUAGGGUGCAAGCGUUGUCCGGAAUUUAUUGGGCGUAAAGAGCUCGUAGGCGGUCUGUCGCGUCUGCUGUGAAAACUCAGGGCUUAACCCUGAGCUUGCAGUGGGUACGGGCAGACUAGAGUGCGGUAGGGGGAGACUGGAAUUCCUGGUGUAGCGGUGGAAUGCGCAGAUAUCAGGAGGAACACCGGUGGCGAAGGCGGGUCUCUGG